CCUACGGGAGGCAGCAGUGGGGAAUAUUGCACAAUGGGCGAAAGCUGAUGCAGCGACGCCGCGUGAGGGAUGACGGCCUUCGGGUUGUAAACCUCUUUCAGUAGGGAAGAAGCGAAAGUGACGGUACCUGCAGAAGAAGCACCGGCUAACUACGUYCCAGCAGCCGCGGCAAUACGUAGGGUGCGAGCGUUGUCCGGAAUUACUGGGCGUAAAGAGCUCGUAGGCGGUUUGUCGCGUCUGUCGUGAAAGUCCNNNNCUUAACCCCGGAUCUGCGGUGGGUACGGGCAGACUAGAGUGCAGUAGGGGAGACUGGAAUUCCUGGUGUAGCGGUGGAAUGCGCAGAUAUCAGGAGGAACACCGAUGGCGAAGGCAGGUCUCUGGGCUGUAACUGACGCUGAGGAGCGAAAGCAUGGGGAGCGAACAGGAUUAGAUACCCUGGUAGUCCAUGCCGUAAACGUUGGGCACUAGGUGUGGGGACCAUUCCACGGUUUCCGCGCCGCAGCUAACGCAUUAAGUGCCCCGCCUGGGGAGUACGGCCGCAAGGCUAAAACUCAAAGGAAUUGACGGGG
rnacentral:rRNA from 1 species